rnacentral:rRNA from 1 species
AAUGAACGUUGGCGGCGUGGAUUAGGCAUGCAAGUCGCGCGAGAAGUCAUUUAGCUUGCUAAAAGACGGACAGCGGCGGAAGGGAGAGUAACGCGUGGUUAUAUACCCUCGAGACCGGGAUAGUGUCGGGAAACUGGCAGUAAUACCGGAUAACAUCUUCGGAUCAAAUGGUGUGAUUCCGCUCGAGGAUCGGACCGCGUACAAUUAGCUAGUUGGAGGGGUAAUGGCCCACCAAGGCUUAGAUGGUUACCGGGUGUGAGAGCAUGGCCCGGCUCACUGGGACUGAGACACUGCCCAGACAUCUACGGAUGGCUGCAGUCGAGAAUCUUCGGCAAUGGACGAAAGUCUGACCGAGCGACGCCGCGUGCGGGAUGAAGGCCUUCGGGUUGUAAACCGCUGUCAGUUAGGAGGAAAUCCAUGAGGGUUCUCUCUCAUGGUUGACCGAUUUUCAGAGGAAGGACGGGCUAAGUUCGUGCCAGCCGCCGCGGUAAAAC